AGGGUGUAAACGCUGCAGACUUGGUGUUGGAGGCCCUUUGGGGGCAUUCAGUGCCGGAGAGAAGUUGUUAAGUCUGCUACUUGGGGAGUACGUCCGCAAGGAUGAAACUUAAAGGAAUUGGCGGGGGAGCACCACAACGGGAGGAGCGUGCGGUUUAAUUGGAUUCAACACCGUAAAACUCACCAGGGAAGACUGUUACAUGAAGGCCGAGAUGAAGACUCUGCUAGAUUUUCAGAGAGGAGGUGCAUGGCGUCAGUGACU
rnacentral:rRNA from 1 species